rnacentral:tRNA from 1 species
AUAAUAUUAUCAGCUAAAUAAGCUAAUGAGUUCAUACCUCAUAAAUGAAAAAUUUCUUAUUU